ensembl:lncRNA
GGAUGGCGGAACCAUUACGUCACACCGGCCACGCCCACUUCACAUAGGCCACACCCACUUGGUAGAAACCAGGACGGAGUUAAGUAGACGGCUUGAAGUAGCUCACAGGUGUCCCGUGUAUCCAGGCGCCGGAUAUGCGGGAGAGUGGAGGCAGUAAUAAGGUUGAGGAGCUUGAGUGUGCCUGGCGUAACGAUGGAAUUGGAGGCAGCCGUGUUCUGGAUGCCGGGGAUAUAGGCAGUGUCCUGUGGGCCCAUUCUCUCUCUCUCUCUGAUAGACGCGGUUUGACGGCUGGAUGCAGCGGAUCGCAUUGUCUUCUCUGCAUCCCUGUUGAUUAAUGGAACUGCCUGUCAAUAAAUAUAGUUUAUUGUAAUGAACGUUACCCGACGGUGUCUGUCUCCCUAUGUUCAACGCCUUUGAGCCAAGGCGUUGCCAAAUGCGGGUGUACUUUGUGCAA